CAGAGCGUUUAUAAUGGAUGCCGCUGUCAGCAGAAGCCUCUGCUGCCGCCGCCGCCGCCACUGCCGCUGUCCCUGUUCCUCCUCUCUUUCUCCCCGGCAGAUCUUUGUUGUGUGGGAGGGCAGCGGGGAUGGACUUGAGCUCGCGGCUCUUCUGCUAGAGCAGCCGCGCUUGGAGAGGACGCCGCCGCCGCGAGCAGCCGCCGCCCCAGGCCCCGCCAGCCGCGGCCUCCGUCCCCGCGCCGCGCUCCGCGCGCCUCCCAGCACAGUGCCCUCGCGGCGGCAGAUGAGUGUGGGGUCAGCCCACGGCGGGGACUAUGGUGAAAUUCCCGGCGCUCACGCACUACUGGCCCCUGAUCCGGUUCCUGGUGCCCCUUGGCAUCACCAACAUAGCCAUCGACUUCGGGGAGCAGGCCUUGAACCGGGGCAUUGCUGCAGUCAAGGAAGAUGCAGUAGAGAUGCUGGCCAGCUAUGGGCUGGCGUAUUCUCUGAUGAAGUUCUUCACGGGACCCAUGAGUGACUUCAAGAAUGUGGGCCUGGUGUUUGUGAACAGCAAG
rnacentral:lncRNA from 1 species